ACCUGGUUGGCUCAGUCAGUUGAGCGUCUGACUUUGGCUCAGGUCAUGAUCUCUCAGUUCGUGGGUUCGAGCCCUGUGUCAGGCU
rnacentral:tRNA from 1 species